rnacentral:rRNA from 1 species
GACGAACGCUGGCGGCGUGCUUAACACAUGCAAGUCGAACGGAAAGGCCCUGCUUGCAGGGUGCUCGAGUGGCGAACGGGUGAGUAACACGUGGGUGAUCUGCCCCUUACUUUGGGAUAAGCCUGGGAAACUGGGUCUAAUACUGGAUAGGACCAUGCUGUAGGUGGUGUGGUGGAAAGAUUAGUUUCGGUAAGGGAUGAGCUCGCGGCCUAUCAGCUUGUUGGUGGGGUAAUGGCCUACCAAGGCGUCGACGGGUAGCCGGCCUGAGAGGGUGGACGGCCACAUUGAGACUGAGAUACGGCCCAGACUCCUACGGGAGGCAGCAGUGGGGAAUAGUGCACAAUGGGCGCAAGCCUGAUGCAGCGACGCCGCGUGGGGGAUGACGGCCUUCGGGUUGUAAACUCCUUUCAGCCAUGACGAAGCCCUUGUGGUGACGGUAGUGGUAGAAGAAGCACCGGCUAACUACGUG